CAGUAGCCGCGGUAAUACGUAGGUCCCGAGCGUUGUCCGGAUUUAUUGGGCGUAAAGCGAGCGCAGGCGGUUAGAUAAGUCUGAAGUUAAAGGCUGUGGCUUAACCAUAGUACGCUUUGGAAACUGUUUAACUUGAGUGCAAGAGGGGAGAGUGGAAUUCCAUGUGUAGCGGUGAAAUGCGUAGAUAUAUGGAGGAACACCGGUGGCGAAAGCGGCUCUCUGGCUUGUAACUGACGCUGAGGCUCGAAAGCGUGGGGAGCAAACAGGAUUAGAUACCCCCGUAGUCCCUGUCUCUUAUACA
rnacentral:rRNA from 1 species